AUUGAACGCUGGCGGCAGGCUUAACACAUGCAAGUCGAGCGGAGACUUCGGUCUUAGCGGCGAACGGGUGAGUAAUACCUAGGAAUCUGCCUAUUAGUGGGGGAUAACGAAUCGAAAGGUUCGCUAAUACCGCAUACGUCCUACGGGAGAAAGGGGGGAUCUUCGGACCUCUCGCUAAUAGAUGAGCCUAGGCCGGAUUAGCUAGUUGGUAGGGUAAAGGCCUACCAAGGCGACGAUCUGUAGCUGGUCUGAGAGGAUGGCCAGCCACACUGGAACUGAGACACGGUCCAGACUCCUACGGGAGGCAGCAGUGGGGAAUAUUGGACAAUGGGGGCAACCCUGAUCCAGCCAUGCCGCGUGUGUGAAGAAGGCCU
rnacentral:rRNA from 1 species